rnacentral:rRNA from 1 species
AGUGAACGCUGGCGGUAGGCCUAACACAUGCAAGUCGAACGGCAGCACAGGAGAGCUUGCUCUCUGGGUGGCGAGUGGCGGACGGGUGAGGAAUACAUCGGAAUCUACCUUUUCGUGGGGGAUAACGUAGGGAAACUUACGCUAAUACCGCAUACGACCUACGGGGGAAAGUGGGGGACCGCAAGGCCUCACGCGAUUAGAUGAGCCGAUGUCCGAUUUCCUGGUUGGCGGGGUAAUGGCCCACCAAGGCGACGAUCGGUAGCUGGUCUGAGAGGAUGAUCAGCCACACUGGAACUGAGACACGGUCCAGACUCCUACGGGAGGCAGCAGUGGGGAAUAUUGGACAAUGGGCGCAAGCCUGAUCCAGCCAUACCGCGUGGGUGAAGAAGGCCUUCGGGUUGUAAAGCCCUUUUGUUGGGAAAGAAAUCCUAUCGGUUAAUAACCGGUGGGGAUGACGGUACCCAAAGAAUAAGCACCGACUAACUUCGUGCCAGCAGCCGCAGUAAGAC